CCUACGGGAGGCAGCAGUAGGGAAUCUUUCACAAUGGGCGAAAGCCUGAUGGAGCAACGCCGCGUGCAGGAUGAAGGCCUUCGGGUUGUAAACUGCUUUUAUAAGCGAGAAAUAUGAUGGUAACUUAUGAAUAAGGAUCGGCUAACUACGUGCCAGCAGCCGCGGUCAUACGUAGGAUCCGAGCAUUAUCCGGAGUGACUGGGUGUAAAGAGUUGCGUAGGUGGCAUAAUAAGUAGCUAGUGAAAUCUGGUGGCUAAACCAUUCAGACUAUUAGCUAAACUGUUAAGCUCGAGACCGUUAGGGGUAACUGGAAUUUCUAGUGUAGGAGUGAAAUCCGUAGAUAUUAGAAGGAACACCAAUAGCGUAGGCAGGUUGCUGGGACGGUUCUGACACUAAGGCACGAAAGCGUGGGAGCAAACGGGAUUAGAUACCCGAGUAGUC
rnacentral:rRNA from 1 species